rnacentral:rRNA from 1 species
CCUUUAAUGUUUGAUGUUCUAACGUGGACCCGUGAUCCGGGUUGCGGACAGUGUCUGGUGGGUAGUUUGACUGGGGCGGUCUCCUCCUAAAGAGUAACGGAGGAGCACGAAGGUUGGCUAAUCCUGGUCGGACAUCAGGAGGUUAGUGCAAUGGCAUAAGCCAGCUUGACUGCGAGCGUGACGGCGCGAGCAGGUGCGAAAGCAGGUCAUAGUGAUCCGGUGGUUCUGAAUGGAAGGGCCAUCGCUCAACGGAUAAAAGGUACUCCGGGGAUAACAGGCUGAUACCGCCCAAGAGUUCAUAUCGACGGCGGUGUUUGGCACCUCGAUGUCGGCUCAUCACAUCCUGGGGCUGAAGUAGGUCCCAAGGGUAUGGCUGUUCGCCAUUUAAAGUGGUACGCGAGCUGGGUUUAGAACGUCGUGAGACAGUUCGGUCCCUAUCUGCCGUGGGCGCUGGAGAACUGAGGGGGGCUGCUCCUAGUACGAGAGGACCGGAGUGGACGCAUCACUGGUGUUCGGGUUGUCAUGCCAAUGGCACUGCCCGGUAGCUAAAUGCGGAAGAGAUAAGUGCUGAAAGCAUCUAAGCACGAAACUUGCCCCGAGAUGAGUUCUCCCUGAGACUUA